GAACAACAUUGCCCGAUGACCCACCACUAUGGAAGAUCAAGGACUGAACUAUGAGCCGUGCUGGAUCCAUGGUGGCUUCCAAGUUCUUAACUGGUUGGCUAAGGCAAAGCUGGGCAGCUGCCAAAAUGAGCAACACUGGUGGAUGUAGAGGAGAGCUGGACAAGGAUGGAGCAUGCUUGAGGAGAUGAUAUUGAUACGCCAGGCAGCUUCAAUUCUUCUGGAACUAAUAUAUUGGUGGUUGCUUCAGUAUCUUCAGAGCUUACAAAAAGGAGUUGAAAUGGGAGAAAUUUGGAAAUGUGAACAGCCUGCCAGCUGGAUCUGAUCAUGCAACAGACCUAGCUCACUGUACAUGGUACCAGGAGAAGUACUUAUUUUUUGGGGAUCCUUUUCAAUCUCAACUGCACGAAUGCACAUAGAUGUCCAGGUGUUGUCCUCCUGCUCAGCAUUCCUUGUCCUUGGUAGGAGCAGGGAAGAGAGCUAUGUAUCUUCAAGUCCCUUCCAACAAUGCAGAAAUUGUGAGACAAUUGUUGUGAGACAAUGUGUCUACAGAGUUUUCUAUUA